GGAACCAGUCAGCCCCACAGGGAAGCGGCUGCCCUCCCAGGAGACGGUCGGGCCACUGGCCAUUCAUCCACGCAGCAUGGGGGUAGGGCAGGCCCUCUUCCACUUCCUGGGCACGAAGCACAGGCUAAAGACGCUGGGCAGAGUCCUGAAUGCCCUAUGUUUUGAGACUUUCUGUAGCCAGCGCUCUCAUUCCAGCACAGCUGAAAGGAGUCCUCUGAACAGCAUCACAGGCCUGGACCAAGCAGCAACAUGCAGAUGCACGAGGAACAGAGAGACACACACCCACCCCAGGAGCAGCAAGCCCCUCAGUCAAACAUGGCUGGAAAUUCUCACCAUCAAAAACCUGCUGGGGGAAGCUGGGGUAGGACUCAGUGGUAGAGCAUCUGCCUAGCAAGUUAAGGUCCCAGUUUCAACCUCUGGCAUCACAAGUCCCACAGAGAACCCUCAGCAACAGCCCAGCAAACUGCUGCCAAUCUCGGUUGUGCCAUCAUGCUUCUCCUGCCUUCUCCUGUCCUGACCAUCAGAUCACCAGGUCUACAAGAAAAAAAGCUUAUCUUAGAAUUAGCUCAGCAGUGUAAGUGCCUACCUGGCAAGCACGAGGUUGUGAGUUCGAUCCCUGGUAACAUUAAAAACAAAAGAAAUCCCUGAGAAUCCAUCUCUAAUUAGAAGCCCUUCUGAAAAAGACCUUUCUUUGUUUCUAAUCACUGAAAAUUACUUUAAUAGGGUGGGGUGGAGCUAGAGAAAUAAAUUUGAUUAAUUACUGAUGAUAACUGUGGCUCAGAGAUUCUAAUUACAGAGCUGGGUGGGAGUGCUGCGAUGACAGCCUCAUACUUCAUGGGCAGCCUGCCCACAGCAGGGUGUGGUCCCAACAGCCCAGGGCAGGCAGACCCCAUCCCAGUGUGGAUGCAGACUGGAAGCACCAGGGUCAUCCCUGUACCUUUUUUGAAAGUCUAUACAAACAUAAUAUUGACUACCUCUCCUGUAGCAGCCACCUGUACCUCUGGGGAUCACACCAGGGUAGGGUCUGGGCUCACCUGGGGCAACAGGAUUUCAGCAUCAUGAGUCUCACUAUGAGCCAAUAAGCACUGGUCAACUGACAGGAUCUUAGCUAAAAGCGCAACAUCUCAGGUCCCCAGCCCAAACCUGCUGAGUCCGUCCUGGGGUGACAGUGCAGCCCAUACAUCUGCACUUUUAACAAGUAUUCUAGUGACUCCCAAAGCUUGGGAAGCAAAAUUCCAAGCUGUGGAUCCAGUGUGAAUUCUCACUACCCUUGAAAAAAAAAUGGUUGUUCUCCACAUUGGUGCCACCAAAUGUAGCCAACAGGAUGUUCUUUCUACCAUCAAGUCAAAGUGCCCUCCUCCACCAUACAUGCCCUAAAGGGAAACAGAGGUCUACUGGCUUCAUGGUCACUUUAUGGCCUCUCACCACCUGGAUAACUUCACUGAAAUGCUAAGUUUCUCUAUCAUUUAAGAUAGUGAAAAUAACCAGAAGUGUGCAAGAAUAGAAAUUCAGUGUUGAAGUACUACUAUAAAUUGUAUCAGAAUCAAUCCUCAAAAGUAAAGCAAAUCUUUCCAAGUUUGAUUUAACUUCAUCUAAUAGCUCAUAAUACUGCAGUCUCUAAUAUACUCAAACCAGCUAUGUGGAUGCAGGACACAGGAAUUUAUUUCUACAUCAUCUGCAAGAUUUUUUAAAAAGAUUUAUUCAAAGGAGAGGUAGUCAAUAUUAUGUUUGUAUAGACUUUCAAAAAAUAUAAUCAAGCCAUGUGAAAUUGUAUUAAGAACAGAAGGUCACAUAAGCACCACAUUUCAAAGGCAAGAAAAAAAAAUGGAGUCAUUUAAGAACUGUAAAGCCCAUUGUGUUAAAUUUCCUUAUCAAGUGGGGAAAAAGAACUACAGUGGCUGGCUGGACGUAGUGAGUCAUUCCUGGAUCAGUUAAGUCUGCAAGUUGGGUUAAGUUUAAAUGGAGCCUUGUAGCCAUGCCAGAGUCUAAGAACCAUGCAGAUCACGGGGGAGCGAAUGAAAGGGUGGCGGUGAAUGGCUGCAUUGUGAAGCUGUCAUGCAGAUUCUCCCCUGAAAUUCUAUGCCUUUCUUCAGAUCGUCUGAUUAUCAAAGAGGCAAGAAAACUUGAACCAGAGGAAACCCAAACCUGCUAGAAUUAUGUAAGAGUUUUCAGCAGCACUUUGGCUUGCAGGCGGUUUGUUCCUAUUGCUGUUUUUAAGGGUCACCCACUUUUGUGGGAGGUGUCUGGCCUGGGCUGCCACACCUCUGGCGACACCACACUCUGAGGUCGCUCCUUACUUUUCACUCAGGCAUCUGCUUGAGAACCGCUGAUGCCACACACAUCACAACUCCGUCCCUGGCCGGUAGCACAUCCCUCAUUGCGGAGAGGGUGCUGUCCUGCUUCUAAAGGCCUGUGAAGAAAGGCCAGGAAGAACGGCAGACACACAGAUUGGCUUAGCGCAGCCCGGGUGCUCCGAGUCGCCUGCCAUCUUCUCAGCUCGCCCUGCCUUUGGGGCCUUGCUGGAGAAAGCCGCAGUGUGCCGACUGCGCAGGCAGCAGUCUACUUGCCUUUGCCUCUGUCGGCUUCCGCAGCGCCUCUCAAGCACUGAUGUUUGCUUGUCCACUCAGGUUUUGUUUUUAAGGGCAGAAGACACAACCCAUGCAUGCCCGGUUCUGACAAGCAAAUCAAAAUUCUGGGAAGUAAAGCAUGAUGAAAUUUCCCCAGUAUUCACAGUGUAUGGAAAGGAGCUUCCUCGGCCUCCCUCGCACAAGCUCAAGCAGAAGCAGUAGAUUAACAGACUGCUAUGACCUCACUUCUCCAGAGGCAGACGUGAGGGUGUGGGAGCUGUGCGAGGAGCAAGCCGGGAGGAAGCAGAAGAGGCCGUGCUCGUCCAGAGGACAGAGUGCGAUGUGCUAAGGAAAAAGAAAAGGAGCAGUACCGUGCUUUUCUACCUCACAGGUGGUCGGUGGCACCGUGCCCUAUCUGAGGGCUCGUUUUCUUUCCUUAAAAAUCAAAUUUAAAAAAUGGAAAGCCUAUUAUAAAUAUUAAAGCUAUCUCUACAGUUAUCCAGGACAAAUUCUACCCAAUCCAGAGAGGCCUUUCCGCAGUGAAGCUCAGCGUAGAGUGUAUUCAGGAGCUGACGUCCCGAGGCUCAGGUGUUCCCCCUUCAGGGAUCACCUCUGUCAGCUUUCAGGAGCAGCCCUUUCUUGGUGACUGUGAGAGACCCCAGGGCACAGCAUGCACAGGUGUCGACACCACCUGCUCAUGUGACUGUGUCACAGUACUUUCCUAAUUCCAGUGAUAUUCUAGGGUAUCAUCCUCAUUCCAAGAAUAUGUUAGUUUCUUUUAUGAAAUCAUUUAUUUAGAAUUUAAAUGCCUGACAUGAUACAAUAAUGCAAUUAAAAAUAGUUCACAAAAGCCUGCAAAAUUACCACAUAGUUUUAUUGCACUUCUAACAAUGCUAAUGAGAAAGAAGUACGAUCAUUUUUAAAAGCCAGGGUUUUUCUGCUUUUAAACAUGGUUAGGAAUAGCAUGAAACAAAACUGGGGAAACCUUCUUGACAUAACAACUGAAAGCUUUUGUUUUGUUUUGUUUUUUGUCUUUUUGAGAUAGCGUCUCACUAUGCAGGCUGGCCUCGAGCUUACUUUGUAGCCCAGGCUGAUCUCAAACUUACAAUCCUCCUGCCUCAGUCUCCCAAGUGCUGGGAUUACAGGUGUGCGCCACCACGCCCCGUUAUGAGGAAUGAAUUUUUAAGAAAAAUGAAAGCAGAAGGAUUUUUGUAACUCACAGUAGCUAUCACAAUUAUCAGCGAGCAAUAGCUUUGAGCUGUAUUUGCUAAUUGAGACUCUGUGAGAACUACGUAAGUUAUUUUUAUUGACCUGUUUUUCUGUUUCUAGACUAGACACGUUAAGGCAUUUCCAUCAGUGACCUCUGUUCAUGGUGAGGUGAUUUACAAAGCUACAGAGAGCAGAGGGUGAGCUGCUUAUGGUUUUGGGGGGAAAAAAGCCAAUGAAGUUAAACUUUUUUAACUGAGAGAAAUUUAACAGAGCCUUAAUAAACAUAUUUUGUUAUUGUUUUACAUAAGACAGCUUUCUGUAUUUGGCGUACAGUAUGUUCUUAGGAUAAAAAAACUCAGGUGUAUUUUUUUAGUACUGGUACCAUAAACCUAACUUCACUUGUGACCAUAAUUUUCAAUCAUAAAACAAGCGUAGCCUAUUUUCAACAGGAAUAACAUCUUCAAGUCAAUAGUUGCAUGUAUCUUAGGUCCAUCUGUCCACAGUGGAAAGGAAAAGUGAGGCCAUUUGUGCCUAUGUUGCAAAAAUGCAACAUAGUUUGUUAAAAAGUUGUUCUAAAGGCAGUUUUUCUCAAAGUGAUUCACUCUCUCUCGAGGCUAGUAUAAGAAGUUGUGGUAAACGGAAAACUGGUAUUUUAAGUAUAGAGCUUUUCAAGCUUAGCUGUACUUACAGGCUUCAGGUAAAAAAAUUCAUAGCUCUUUCUAGGAGGCAUUCUGGCUAUUUCCAUGAGUUUUUAAAAAUCUACAUGGUGUUUUUUUUGUUUUUUGUUUUUUGUUUUUUUACCCAAAGCACUAGUUUUCCUGACAGUAAGAGGUUAUGUUCCCCACUUUCCUGAUUCCUCUCUUAGUUGCUCAAACUCUCUUCCUUAUCCAUGUCACUAAAAACACCAAACUCUUGCUGUCCUUUUUAAAAGAGAUUUUUGAUGCUGCCCAUUAUAAUGAACAUUUGUUUCAUUUUAUUUUAAAUUUGUUUUCUCCUUAUAAAAUGCAAUCAAGUUACCUUUUCCAUAAUGGUCCUUAUUUGAUCUUUUCUGCAGCUAACGAGCUCUUAAUACAAAUGGUGACUCUGGUCUUGUAUUUUCAAUGUGAUUCUUUGCUCUGUGGCAAUGAGUCUAUGUUCAGGGCAUGGAAAGUGAAUGAAUGGAUAUUACGAUGGCCAUAUAACUGCCCCAGGUCCUUGACAUUGAGCCCUCCCUUCCCAGGGCACAUCAGGUGGGGUGAGUACCUGCUUGGCAAGUACAAGAUCAUGAGUUCGAUCCCUGGUACCAAAAAUAAACAAACAAAUAAAUAAAUCAGAAUUUUUCUCCUGCAAGACGGGUCAUAAAAGCUAUAUUUCCCUUGCCUUGAGCUGGCUAUAAAGAAAUCCCAACCCCACCUUGUAUGAUCCUGGGUCACAGGCCCUCCUUAUUCCAAUGGGGUCCUGCCCCACACCCUGGAGGCAGGGGCCACACAGAGGCAGGGCAAAGGCUGGUAGCACAGGGUUACAUUCUUUUUGUCUGAUCACAUUUUCAGAUGGUUGUUCAUGCUUCAAUCAUGCCAAUACAAUGACCCAUAAAAGCUCAAAUGACAGGUUCUGGGAGCUUCUGGACAGCAAGAAAUCUGGAGGGUUCUGGAGGAGCAGCUCUGGAGAGGGUGGAGACCUGUCUACCAGCUCCUCUCCCCCACACUCCUGUCAUGCAUCCCUUUACCUGCCUUCUUUGUAACAUAUGUUAUAAUAAGCCAGUAAAUGUGUCUGCUGGGCUUUCGUGAGCCACUGACCAAAUUAACCAACCAAGCCCCUGGGAUCUGGGACCAGCUGCUCUGCUGGUUGGGGGACUGGACGCUGUCUCUAGGUGGGUGGUGUCAGACCUGAUGCAAGAGGAAGCCAGCUGGUGUCUGCUGCUGCAGUGUGGGCUGCUUGCUGGAGCAGGGCAGGUCUAGAGAAUAGAAGGAAAAAGGACCCCUUGGUUGUGACCAGCAUCAUCCUCUAUGUAAUAACAGUCCUGAUGUUUUACUUCCCGUUAGGAAAGAUAAUGGGCAAAUUAGAAAAAGAAAAUUAAUUUAAAGGUAUAUAUGUAUUUCUUUAUUGAUCUGUGUAUUGAAAACUGAUCUUUAGCCUAUAACAGAACUGAACUAAAAUUAGCAUUCUAUCAGCUUUCCCCAUACGUAACCACAGGGCCACCAAACAGAGAAAAUGUCUUUGACCUUGAAAACAAAAGUGGAUAGGCAAUUCUAUGUGAAUAUUUUCUGAGAGAAAGAGACAGACAGACAGAGACAGAGACAGUACUAAUAAAUUUUCUCCCACAAACUGAUGAAGACUUCUGGUUCUGGCAUGUGGAUAGACUAGAAAACUAAGUAUUUCUGGAUACUUCUGUAUAAAACAAAUUAUCCUUUGAAAAGAAGAGCUGAGCUGUCAGGAAAGUAAGGAAAAGCACCAGGUGGGUAAACAAGGAAACUGAAAAUCAAAGCAGUCAGCAUAAAAGCCAGGCUAGGACCACUGGGUAGGGAGGAGACGCCAGUGUCUGGAGUAAGGGAUCAAAAGCUUCAGGAAAGGGUGAAACCAUGAGUCUCAUGAUUCAAGGAACUGGAACCAAGAUCUGUAAGACACACCCAGGACCCUCAGAGGCUGCAUUUUUAGGGAGCUGGUCCAAGAGUUUAGACAAACAGCCCACCUGCUGAGUGUACAAGCUGGUCUAGGCCUGGGCUCUACCUAGGAAGGAGGGUAAAUUAGGGUGUAUGUCCAAAUUUCACCCAGGGUGGCAGCACUCAGAGUUAUACCACAGAAGGGGUCUGGACACUCCCCAAUCAAAAAAGUAACACCAAGUUGUCCUUAGGCUAUUGCCAAGCUCAACAGAGGUAAGUACAGGCCCUGGAGGGAUACUUUCUAAAAGAGGCCACUUCAUUCUUCAGUUUCACAAAGGAACAGCCCUACUGAAGAAAAUGCACAAUCCAAAAUUAUAAAAUACAUGAAGCCACCUAGACAGAACAAAGAGGAUCUGAUAGCAAAAAGUUCAGAUAGCUAUAAAGGGAGAUACCAAUAUAGUAAGAAAAGCAUCAAAAGGAGUAAAUCUUUAGAAAAAGCACUAGAGGAAAUUCCGGAAAUUAAAGUCAAUGCAAUUUUUAAAAUGUAAUAAAAUCAUAAGCAUAGCUAAAAAGCAAAUUACUAACUAGAAUGGAGUUAAGGAAAUCACACAAAGACAAAAUCUGUACAACAAAAACAGCAAUCAAGAAGGCGAGCAAACAUGUCCAUCACUGUGGUACAACAUUUCAACAUGGCUCUCAAGUAGAGACAGGACAAGCAUAAAGCAUUCAGAAAGCACAUGGCAGAAAUGAAAGCACCAUAGCUUUGACCUACUGGACAUACAAAGAGCUGGGACCCAUCCCUAAGAAAUAUACAUUCUUGAGUUUCAAGAACUCAAGGCAUAUUUAUAGAAUGCCUAUAUUAGGCAAUAACGCAGACUGCAAUAAUUUCAAAGAUUCAUAUCACACAAACCAGCUUCUACCACAGUGCAAUUAAGACAAAAUUAAUUUUAAAAAUUAACCCAUACUCUUGGAAAUUUAAAAUGAACUUAUAAACAGCUCAUGGAUCAAAGGUGAUCAUUAUAGUUGUGCAAUAACCAAAAUACUGUUUAUUAAAAUUUGAAGAGCAGAAAUCAAUAGAAUACAUGCUGAACGCAAGGAAUCAUUGCAAAAUUAGUUCUUUUAAAAAGACCGAUAAGAUUGGCAAGUCUCUGGAUAUGUCUCCUGUAUCUGUAAGACAUAAUAGCUUAAGCUGCUCCGCUGCCCACUGUCUUCAUGGGGAUGCUUCACAGGGACCUCAAAUUGACCUCAUCUGAUCCCCACUUCCAGUGCCAGUUCGACUAUAAACCUCCCAUAGAGAAAGCAAACCUUUAAAUACACUAUUAAUGUAAUGACCUAUAAGAAAAUUGCACCGUAAUUCUAGUCCUUUGCCCACAAAGUACUGGGCCCGCACUAGUAAGUCUUACUAGUUUGUGAAGUAUUUGUACAUUAAAUUCAUGAGAUAAAAAAUUGUAAAAUCAGCACUAUGGAUUAUAUCAUCAUAAUGCCAAGCAAUACAUUUUUACUGAAAAUUUUUCUAAUUAUCUACAGAUUAUUAUAUACUUAAUGAUACUUAAGGCCAUUAGCCACCCCAAUAGAGAUGAAUGUAGGGUUAUGAAUAAACAUGGUACAAACUCCAGAAGCUUUUUAUUUCUGUAUUUUAAAAGGUUGUAUCUCAUAUACAGGAGAAAACAAAAUAUUGGUCUCAGAGUUGAGUACUUGCCUAGAGCGUAGGAUUCAAUCUCCAGCACAGCAAUAACAAAAAGAAAAUGAUCAUCAUACAACUCAUAUUGAGGACUAACAUGGAGAAAUGGUCAGAUAUAAACAAACACCAGUAGUAUAAAACAGAACUCAAACAUACAGAGAUUGUAUUUAUAUAUUUUUUUGUUUGUGGUUAUAUUUGUAGUUCCCAGGAUAUCAUCUGAUACAAAUAAGAUGUUCAGUGAGCAACUGUCAAAUCAAUUAAUGAAUGAAAAAUGCUGUGAUUGUUGCAGCUGAUUUCAUGCAUUGUUCCCAGACUUGCUCAUUUUACUCAUUUACUCUCCCCAACCCUAACCCCACUACAUUACUUCAGAGGAAAUGGCUCAAGUCAGCUGAAGGAAGAAACACGAGACAUAGCCCUGGCAUCCAGUAGCCUACAGGGCAAUCCCAGGCAAUCCUGAACCCACAUGUUUAAAUAUACUCUUCCCAGCCACUGACUGAAAGUCUGUUCUUAUCCUGUGUUUCCACUGACCUAAGUAUAGUAAAUGAAUUCAGUGAUGGACCUUGAGACGAUCUGAGUCUAAAACGGACAGACAGAACACAAAGCCUGGCAUCAAUGCAUGCAUUCAUCUGCCAAGGAACUCUGCAAGGUUAAAUGGACAAGCCACUGUCUGCUUGUAAAAAACCAUGUCCUCAAGGGGCUGAGAGACACAGAACAAGUCACUGUAACAGUGCAGGCAGCAUGUGCUAACAGUGCAGGCAGCAUGUGCUGUAACGGAAGUAACCGAAGGCCAGAAACGUUCUAACUAAAACUAAGCACAAUCCUAGAAAUGGGGCAAGAGGAAGGGAAAGAGAAAGAAAGGUGGGAAGAAAGGGAAUGAGGCAGAGAGGGAAAAAAGGAGAGCACAGUACACCAAUGAACACCAGAAUGGAACAGAAGCAGUGAAGUGAUAAUUUCCAAAACUGAUUAAGCAAAUUACUAUAAAAUGAGUAUGAGAACUUAGCCAUCAAGAAUGAGAUACAAGGUCAUUAAAACCAGCCAACUUUCUGUUUCCAUUGGUUGUAUCAUGUAGUAUCUUAUUGGAUUUUAUCAUGUGUGGUAGUACAAACAAUUUUUUAUGGACAAGAAAUAAUAUAGUAACCAUUGUUCGUUUUCUGUUAUUUGGUUCUGAAUGCCCUGUAAUACUUUCAUUCUCUUGAAUGGUUUUAUAUUAUUUUGUUAUGUUUGAUACCAUUGUGUAUGAAGGUAUGCUCAACUAUUUCAAGGAAAGAGACAUUAUGGUAGCUACUGUUAUAUCGGGUUGUCUUAUGGUGAAAUACUGACAGUGUUGCUUAAAUUGUUCUGUUCUCAUCUGCUUUAUGUCCUCUAUUACCUUAAUCUCUUUAAAAUAAAAAAUUUUUUUAAAAACA